UUAAGUUCAGCGGGUAUCCCUACCUGAUCCGAGGUCAACCUGAAAAUGGGAAUUGGGUUGAUGCAAGUAACCACUUGGAUCUCCAAAGCGAGAAGAAUUACUACGCUUGAAGCCAAAUGGCACCGCCACUGAUUUUAAGACCUGCCAGAAACUGGCAAUGUCCAAUACCAAGCAAAGCUUGAGGGUUGUAAUGACGCUCG
rnacentral:misc_RNA from 1 species